GCCGUUGUGGCGUAGUGGUAGCGCGUCCCACUUGUAUCAGCAAUGGGAAGGUCAUUCGUUCAAUCCGGGUCUGCGGCA
rnacentral:tRNA from 1 species